rnacentral:rRNA from 1 species
UACAGAGGUCCCAAGCGUUGUUCGGAUUCACUGGGCGUAAAGGGUGCGUAGGCGGUCGGGUAAGUCUGAUGUGAAAUCUCACAGCUUAACUGUGAAACUGCAUUGGAUACUAUCCGGCUCGAGGAAUGGAGGGGAGACUGGAAUACUUGGUGUAGCAGUGAAAUGCGUAGAUAUCGUUUGGAACGCCAAUGGUGAAAACAGACAGCUGGGAGUGUGCUGACGCUGAGACACGAAAGCCAGGGGAGCGAACGGG